CCUACGGGCUGCAGCAGUGGGGAAUUUUGGACAAUGGCCGAAAGUCUGAUCCAGCAAUGCCGCGUGCAGGAUGAAGGCCCUCGGGUUGUAAACUGCUUUUGUACGGAACGAAAAGACUCUCUCUAAUAAAGAGGGUUGAUGACGGUACCGUAAGAAUAAGCACCGGCUAACUACGUGCCAGCAGCCGCGGUAAUACGUAGGGUGCGAGCGUUAAUCGGAAUUACUGGGCGUAAAGCGUGCGCAGGCGGUUAUGUAAGACAGAGGUGAAAUCCCCGAGCUCAACCUGGGAACGGCCUUUGUGACUGCAUGGCUAGAGUGCGGCAGAGGGGGAUGGAGUUCCGCGUGUAGCAGUGAAAUGCGUAGAUAUGCGGAGGAACACCGAUGGCGAAGGCAACCCCCUGGGCCUGCACUGACGCUCAUGCACGAAAGCGUGGGGAGCAAACAGGAUUAGAUACCCUUGUAGUC
rnacentral:rRNA from 1 species